AUCUUUGCGCUUGGGGCAAUGACGCAGCUAAUGAGGUACUAACCGAGGCGCGUCUAUUGCUUGUUGAAAACUAUUUCCAAACCCCCUCAUUGUUCCUAGGCUUGACCUAGUUCUUUGAGAAUUUCUGGAAGGACUUCCUUCUGGGUAAAGUC